UGAGCUCACUUCCACAGCACAUUAUACUAAAACCGGAACACAGAAGACAAGCAUGGCCCCUGAGCAAAGAAGAUGUGCAAAUUCAUGAAGUGUUCCAUAUUAUU
ensembl:snRNA U6 U6 spliceosomal RNA